GAGUCUAUCGGUGGGAACAUCGUGGAGACCCCAUGCUGAUGACUCCUACUGUUGCUUCGGCGGGAUUGCCCCGGGCGCCUCGUGUGCCCCGGAUCAGGCGCCCGCCUAGGAAACUCAACUCUUGUUUUAUUUUGGAAUCUUCUGAGUAGUUUUUACAAAUAAAUAAAAACUUUCAACAACGGAUCUCUUGGUUCUGGCAUCGAUGAAGAACGCAGCGAAAUGCGAUAAGUAAUGUGAAUUGCAGAAUUCAGUGAAUCAUCGAAUCUUUGAACGCACAUUGCGCCCGCCAGUAUUCUGGCGGGCAUGCCUGUCUGAGCGUCAUUUCAACCCUCAUGCCCCUAGGGCGUGGUGUUGGGGAUCGGCCAAAGCCCGCGAGGGACGGCCGGCCCCUAAAUCUAGUGGCGGACCCGUCGUGGCCUCCCCUGCGAAGUAGUGAUAUUCCGCAUCGGAGAGCGACGAGCCCCUGCCGUUAAACCCCCAACUUUCCAAGGUUGACCUCAGAUCAGGUAGGAAUACCCGCUGAACUUAAGCAUAUCAAUAAGCGGAGGAA
rnacentral:rRNA from 1 species